UACGGAGGGGGCUAGCGUUGUUCGGAAUUACUGGGCGUAAAGCGCACGUAGGCGGAUUUGCCAGUCAGGGGUGAAAUCCCGGGGCUCAACCUCGGAACUGCCUUUGAUACAGCAAGUCUUGAGUUCGAGAGAGGUGGGUGGAAUUCCUAGUGUAGAGGUGAAAUUCGUAGAUAUUAGGAAGAACACCGGUGGCGAAGGCGGCCCACUGGCUCGACACUGACGCUGAGGUGCGAAAGCGUGGGGAGCAAACAGG
rnacentral:rRNA from 1 species